rnacentral:rRNA from 1 species
GCGUGCAGACUUAGUUCACAUGGCACUAUCUCAUCUGAUCUGAGAAGCUAAGCACAGUAGGGACUGGUUAGUACUUCGAUGGGAGAGCACCUGGGAAUAACGGGUGCUGCCUGAG